rnacentral:lncRNA from 1 species
AUCUCUGUAUUUUAAAAUCCAUGGCAUCUCAUGGUUCAACAUUAGAAUAUCCAUCACUAUGAUUCAUUAAGUAAAUAAAUUAAAGAUGGAACAUCAUAUUGCCUCUUUACGCUUUGGGUUUUAGUAAUAUCCUUUCACAUUCAUAAUCCAGAUAGCGAGAUAAGCAAGAUUUUAUGCACCGAGGCCUUUCCUUCAUUGCUCUUUCAAACUGAAAAACAUUGCUGCCAUUUUAGCCAACAGUUAAACUUUACUACAAAAUAUUUUGAUACCCUUUUCUUAAAGUAAUCUGCAACUCACAUGGUGAAGCUCAAAUCCCAUUUGGGAAUUCAGCAAACUAGCUGAUUCUGCAACAUGAAAUCCUAUGAGAUUUUGGAUGUGGAUUUGUCUGAGUACAUGGGAGUUGACAUCAAAUACUUCACAAAUACUAUACCUUCCAGGAAUCCACAUUUUCUUUAUUGGAUGCAGAAUUGUGAACUCUUUAAGAAAUAGCUGAAUCAUUAUUUCUUGACUCUCUCCUGCUUGUUAAAGCAGGACUAUAAA